AAAGUUUUCAGCUGGGUCACUUUAAAGAAGCCUGUUUGGAGAUGUAGCUAACUUAUAGCCAGUUUACGGUUAGCCAUAAAAAAGCAAUGUUACCGACCAGUUAGCUUCAUACUUCUACAGCUGUUGUUAGGCUAAAUGACCAGGCCUGGUUGUUUUUGGGAUCAUGUCGAGUUUGAAGGACCACAGCGUUUCAUCUGCAAGCUGCACAGGAGAGCUCUGCUGGAAUGCUGCUAAGCUGCAGAUGUACCAGCCAAAUUAUUCCAGAGGGGAAUUACCAGGCCAUAAAUCCAGACGUCAGGAGGAUGGCUGUAGCCUAUUUCACGCCCUGCCUGCAGCGUGGAGGGGAGAGAGGUCACGAUGGACGAUGAGGGAUGGGCGGGGCAAAAGCCUCCACUCUGAGCAAUUUGGCUGAAGAGUAAUGUGUGAGGAAGUAGCCUACAUGAAAAGACCUCAUCCACGUAGGUCUGCCUGGAGCUGACAAACACCUGUUCUACUUAACCUGUAAUGAGUCCGCAACUCAGAUCCGUCUUGUCCGUUUUUUGUCUGAGAGAGCGAUCCUAAGAAAAACAGAAAUGGCAAUAAAGGGGAAAAAUCUGGAACAAUAUUGCUUUAAAAUCUCUUCCAUUAUGUUUGAACAUAUAAAAAAAGUAUCUGGAAUGACCACAUCAAAAGCUAUAAAUUGAACAUUACAGAACCCCCGUGUUCUGUUUCCCCCUCUGGCCUUUUACUCACAAAACUGGUUUGUGAAUUUGCAGUGAAGACAUGACUUGUCCUUAUAAAGGUCAUACCUUGGCUAUGUUGAUUAUAUUACCUGAAAGACAGGUAGCAUUUUUUUUUUUUUUUUUAUAGUUUGGGAAGGGUUGGUUGCAGGCGAAACAGGAAAUGAAGAGUUUUGGGGCCUGUCUGUCCACGCUGAUCCUCCAGCUAACCGGGAGGCAGCAGGGGCUUGAGUGAGAGCACUCAGAUGUGAGGUCAUGGGUUCAAAGCCCAGGUGUUGUGCCUUGCAGCAGGACACUUCCCAGUCUAAACAGUGUAAAUGAUUUUAGAGAAUGUAGAGGUUAACCCGAGAUCAAAGAGAUCCACCUCUGAAGAGACUCUUUCUACUGUAUCUGUCAAAGACAUCAGUUUGUAAACACACUAAUCUGCUCCUGUCUGGUGUGUGUGCUUAUUCAGUGUCCUCACUUCAUAGGUAAUAUUGUGCUUGAUAUUAGCCUCUGAAUACAGCGGUCAGAUUGUUAAUACAUUUGCCAGAUUAUUGCAAAUUUAAGUAAACCACUGGAUUCCAGAUAACUUUAAAUAAAAGUUAAACAUUUAUCAAAUUCAAUUUUCAAUUUGUUGUCCAAAUGAGACAAGCAUGUCAGUGGAUGUAAACUGUGAUAUUACAGCAGGAGAGGAGAAAAAAAAAUGUGCGCUGCCGGAGAAUCCCAAGAACACGCAGCUACUUCCUUUUGAUUCCCAUUUCAUUGAUUUAAUUUCUCAUCCUUAAGAGAUGUCACUUUGUCUGGAAAUGUAUUCAUCCUGCAUAUGCGACUCUUAAUAACGCUAAUCUUUUUGCCAGAGCAGAAAUCUCAUGGAGGGAUAAUCUGAGAUAAAUAUAGUUAAUUGAGGCCAGGUGAACUUUCUUUAUCAGCAGCACAGUCAACCAAUCUGAAGUAAAUGUGAUAAUUAGAACGGAGAUGUCUUCACCGAGAACAGAGCGUGGUCCUGUCCCGCAGCCAUUUCCCUCAAAUUAUAUCUGAUUUCACAACACAUCAGAAAUCUAUAUCAAAUUAGUGGGCUAACGAAUGCAGUAAUGUUUCCCAUAGACAUAUGUAAACAUGA